CCUACGGGAGGCAGCAGUAGGGAAUCUUCCGCAAUGGACGAAAGUCUGACGGAGCAAUGCCGCGUGAGUGACGAAGGUUUUCGGAUCGUAAAACUCUGUUGUAAGGGAAGAACAAGUACCAAGUAACUACUGGUACCUUGACGGUACCUUACCAGAAAGCCACGGCUAACUACGUGCCAGCAGCCGCGGUAAUACGUAGGUGGCAAGCGUUGUCCGGAAUUAUUGGGCGUAAAGCGCGCGCAGGCGGUCCCUUAAGUCUGAUGUGAAAGCCCACGGCUCAACCGUGGAGGGUCAUUGGAAACUGGGGGACUUGAGUGCAGAAGAGGAAAGUGGAAUUCCAUGUGUAGCGGUGAAAUGCGUAGAGAUGUGGAGGAACACCAGUGGCGAAGGCGACUUUCUGGUCUGUAACUGACGCUGAGGCGCGAAAGCGUGGGGAGCAAACAGGAUUAGAUACCCUGGUAGUCCACGCCGUAAACGAUGAGUGCUAAGUGUUAGGGGGGUUUCCGCCCCUUAGUGCUGCAGCUAACGCAUUAAGCACUCCGCCUGGGGAGUACGGCCNCAAGGCUGAAACUCAAAUGAAUUGACGGGG
rnacentral:rRNA from 1 species